GCAAAUAUAGGUUAAUGGUAGACCCAAUGAUUUCCAAUCAUUCUGUGCUAGUUCGAGUCUAGCUAUUUGUA
rnacentral:tRNA from 2 species